rnacentral:rRNA from 1 species
UACGUAGGCAGCUAGCGUUGUUCGGAAUUACUGGGCGUAAAGAGUGUGUAGGCGGUGUUCCAAGUCUGGUGUGAAAUCUCCCGGCUCAACUGGGAGGGUGCGCCGGAAACUGGGAUGCUAGAGGAUGGGAGAGGUAAGCGGAAUUCCUGGUGUAGCGGUGAAAUGCGUAGAUAUCAGGAGGAACACCUGUGGUGUAGACAGCUUACUGGACCAUUUCUGACGCUGAGACACGAAAGCGUGGGUAGCAAACAGG